ACUGAGGAUGGGUCUGCGGCCUAUCAGGUAGUAGUGGGUGUAAUGUACCUACUAGCCUACGACGGGUACGGGUCGUGAGAGCGAGAGCUCGGAGAUGGAUUCUGAGACACGAAUCCAGGCCCUACGGGGUGCAGCAGGCGCGAAAACUUUACAAUGCUGGCAACAGCGAUAAGGGGACCUCGAGUGCCAGGAUACAAUCUUGGCUGUCGUAGUGCCUAAAAAGCAUUGCAUAGCAAGGGCCGGGCAAGACCGGUGCCAGCCGCCGCGGUAACACCGGCGGCUCGAGUGGUAACCGCUAUUAUUGGGUCUAAAGGGUCUGUAGCCGGCCGGAUAAGUCUUUUGGGAAAUCCAGCAGCUCAACUGUUGGGCUUUCAGAAGAUACUGUUCGGCUCGAGACCGGGAGAGGUGAGAGGUACUUCAGGGGUAGGGGUGAAAUCUUGUAAUCCUUGAAGGACCACCAGUGGCGAAGGCGUCUCACCAGAACGGAUCUGACGGCAAGGGACGAAAGCUAGGGGCACGAACCGGAUUAGAUACCCGGGUAGUCCUAGCCGUAAACGAUACUCGCUAGGUGUCAGCCACGGUGCGACCGUGGUUGGUGCCGUAGGGAAGCCGUGAAGUGAGCCACCUGGGAAGUACGGCCGCAAGGCUGAAACUUAAAGGAAUUGGCGGGGGAGCAC
rnacentral:rRNA from 1 species